UAUCAAAAACAUGUCUUUUUGAAUUGAAUUUAAAGUCUGACCUGCCCAUUGAAAGGCUGCGGUAUUUUGACCGUACAAAGGUAGCAUAAUCAUUAGUUUUUUAAUUGAAAACUUGUAUGAAUGGUUCAACGUAAUAUGUACUGUUUCAUAAAAAUUUAUAGAAAUUAAUUUUUUAGUAAAAAAGCUAAAAUUUUUUUAAAAGACGAGAAGACCCUAUAGAGUUUUAUAUAAAAAAUUUAUUAUAAAUUUAUAAAAUUUAAAAUUUUAUGUUUUUUUAUAUUUUGUUGGGGUGACAAUAAAAUUUUAUUAUCUUUUAUUAUUUAUUAACAAUGAUUUUUGAUUUUUUGAUCCAUUAUUAAUGAUUAUAAGAUUAAAUUACCUUAGGGAUAACAGCGUAAUUUUUUUGUAGAGUUCUUAUUAAUAAAAAUUUUUGCGACCUCGAUGUUGGAUUAAA
rnacentral:rRNA from 1 species